AGAAGAUAAAACUAGAGUGGGGGAUAUCAAAUCAAAUCUUAUUGAAUACAACAGGUAGACCCUUAGUGAAAUGCUGAAUACAACAGGUAGACCCUUAGUGAAAUGCUGAAUACAACAGGUAGACCCUUAGUGAAAUGCUGAAUACAACAGGUAGACCCUUAGUGAAAUGCUGAAUACAACAGGUAGACCCUUAGUGAAAUGCUGAAUACAACAGGUAGACCCUUAGUGAAAUGCUGAAUACAACAGGUAGACCCUUAGUGAAAUGCUGAAUACAACAGGUAGACCCUUAGUGAAAUGCUGAAUACAACAGGUAGACCCUUAGUGAAAUGCUGAAUACAACAGUUAGACCCUUAGUGAAAUGCUGAAUACAACAGGUAGACCCUUAGUGAAAUGCUGAAUACAACAGGUAGACCCUUAGUGAAAUGCUGAAUACAACAGGUAGACCCUUAGUGAAAUGCUGAAUACAACAGGUAGACCCUUAGUGAAAUGCUGAAUACAACAGUUAGACCCUUAGUGAAAUGCUGAAUACAACAGGUAGACCCUUAGUGAAAUGCUGAAUACAACAGGUAGACCCUUAGUGAAAUGCUGAAUACAACAGUUAGACCCUUAGUGAAAUGAUGAAUACAACAGGUAGACCCUUAGUGAAAUGAUGAUUACAACAGGUAGACCCUUAGUGAAAUGCUUACUUUCAAGCCCUUAACCAACAAUGCAAUUUUAAGAAAAAUAAGAGUUAAGUAAAGAAAUAAAAGUAACAAAUAAUGAAACAGCAGCUGUAAAAUAACAAUAGCGAGGGUUUAUACAGGGAGUAUCGGUACAGAGUCAAUGUGCGGGGGCACCGGUUAGUCGAGGUAAUAUGUACAUGUAGAGUUAUUAAAGUGACGAUGCAUAGAUAGAGUAGCAGCAGUGGAAAAUACAAUGCAAAUAGUCUGGGUAGCCCUUUGAUUAGCUUUUCAGGAGUCUUAUGGAUUGGAGGGUAGAAGCUGUUAUGAAGCCUUUUGCACUCCGGUACCGCUUGUCGUGUGGUAGCAGAGAGAACAGUCUAUGACUAGGGUGGCUCGAGUCUGACAAUUGUUAGGGCCUUCCUCUGACAACACCUGGUAAAGAGGUCCUGGAUGGCAGGAAGCUUGGCCCCAGUGAUAUACUGGGCCAUAUGCACUACCCUCUGUAGUGCCUUGCGGUCAGAGGACGAGCAAUUGCCAUACCAGGUAGUGAAGCAACCAGUCAGGAUUAUCACGAUGUCGCAGCUGUAGAACAUUGAGGAUCUGAGGACCCAUGACAAAUCUUUUCAGUCUUCUGAAGGGGAAUAGGCUUUGCCGUGCCCUCUUCACGACUGUCUUAGUGUGUUUGGACCAUGAAAGUUUGUUGGCGAUGUGAACAGAGAUAUUGAAGCGCUCAACCUGCUCCACUACAGCACCAUUGAUGAGAAUGGGGGCGUGCUCGGUCCUUCUUUUCCUGUAGUCUACAAUCAUCUCCUUUGUCUUGACCACGUAGAGAGAAAGGUUGUUGUCCUGACACCACACAGCCAGGUCUCUCUUGAUGAUGGUGUUGGAGUCGUGCCUGGCCAUGAAGUCAUGAGUGAACAGGGAGUACAGGAGGGGACAGAGCACGCACCCCUGGGGGACCCCUGUGUUGAAUGUAAAGUCAUGGCCAAAUGUUUUGAGAAUGACACAAUUAUUAAUUUCCACAAAGUUUGCUGCUUCAGUGUCUAGAUAUUUUUGUCAGAUGUUACUAUGGAAUACUGAAGUGUCAAAGGCUUUUAUUGACAAUUACAUGAAGUUGAUG